rnacentral:rRNA from 1 species
UGACCUCGGAUCAGGUAGGGAUACCCGCUGAACUUAAGCAUAUCAAUAAGCGGAGGAAUACCAAUGUAGGGU